AACGAACGCUGGCGGCAGGCUUAACACAUGCAAGUCGAGCGGGGUGAUGUAGCUUGCUACAUUACCUAGCGGCGGACGGGUGAGUAAUGCUUAGGAAUCUGCCUAUUAGUGGGGGACAACAUUCCGAAAGGUAUGCUAAUACCGCAUACGCCCUACGGGGGAAAGCAGGGGAUCUUCGGACCUUGCGCUAAUAGAUGAGCCUAAGUCAGAUUAGCUAGUUGGUGGGGUAAAGGCCUACCAAGGCGACGAUCUGUAGCGGGUCUGAGAGGAUGAUCCGCCACACUGGGACUGAGACACGGCCCAGACUCCUACGGGAGGCAGCAGUGGGGAAUAUUGGACAAUGGGCGCAAGCCUGAUCCAGCCAUGCCGCGUGUGUGAAGAAGGCCUUUUGGUUGUAAAGCACUUUAAGCGAGGAGGAGGCUACUUGGAUUAAUACUCUAGGAUAGUGGACGUUACUCGCAGAAUAAGCACCGGCUAACUCUGUGCCAGCCGCCGCAGUAACAC
rnacentral:rRNA from 1 species